rnacentral:rRNA from 1 species
UUGCCAGCCGCCGCGGUUAUACGAGAGGCCUAAGUUGAUAGACAGCGGCGUAAAGAGUGGUUAAGGAAAGUACAAAACUAAAGCCGAACGCCUUCAGAACUGUCAUACGUCUUCGAAGGUAUGAAGCCCGACCACGAAAGUGGCUUUAUUCCCCCUGAACCCACGAAAGCUAAGGAACAAACUGGGAUUAGAUACCCCACUAUGCUUAGCCCUG